rnacentral:rRNA from 1 species
UACGUAGGGGGCAAGCGUUAUCCGGAUUUACUGGGUGUAAAGGGAGCGUAGACGGCGAGGUAAGCCUGAAGUGGAAGCCCGCGGCCCAACCGCGGAACUGCUUUGGGAACUGUUUUGCUGGAGUAUGGGAGGGGUAAGCGGAAUUCCUGGUGUAGCGGUGAAAUGCGUAGAUAUAUGGAAGAACACCAGUGGCGAAGGCGGCCGCCUGGCCUGUUGCUGACGCUGAGGCACGAAAGCGUGGGGAGCAAAUAGG